rnacentral:rRNA from 1 species
GAUGAACGCUGGCGGCGUGCCUAAUACAUGCAAGUCGAGCGAACAGACGAGGAGCUUGCUCCUCUGACGUUAGCGGCGGACGGGUGAGUAACAUGUGGAUAACCUACCUAUAAGACUGGGAUAACUUCGGGAAACCGGAGCUAAUACCGGAUAAUAUAUUGAACCGCAUGGUUCAAUAGUGAAAGACGGUUUUGCUGUCACUUAUAGAUGGAUCCGCGCCGCAUUAGCUAGUUGGUAAGGUAACGGCUUACCAAGGCAACGAUGCGUAGCCGACCUGAGAGGGUGAUCGGCCACACUGGAACUGAGACACGGUCCAGACUCCUACGGGAGGCAGCAGUAGGGAAUCUUCCGCAAUGGGCGAAAGCCUGACGGAGCAACGCCGCGUGAGUGACGAAGGUCUUCGGAUCGUAAAACUCUGUUAUUAGGGAAGAACAAAUGUGUAAGUAACUAUGCACGUCUUGACGGUACCUAAUCAGAAAGCCACGGCUAACUACGUG